rnacentral:rRNA from 1 species
AUGGCGGCAUCCUGGGUCGACCUCCAUCAAGAUCUGCUAGACCUUGUCGUCGCCAACCUCCUUGACCCAGGCGACCGUGCCCGCGCCCGCGCCGUGUGCCGUUCAUGGCACGCCGCCGUGCGACGCCAUGGCCCCCAGGCGGCCCAGCUACCAUGGAUCGUCUUCCCUGAUGGCGAAUUCAUAACUCCGACCAAUGGCAGCAGAUGGGAAUGCCCCGGCUCUAUCCCUGACAAUGCGCGAUGCCGUGGCUCCGCCGACGAGUGGCUACUCCUUGGCAUCUACGAGCAGAACCUCAUCUACAUACCGGAAGACGAAGUAGAAUCUUAUUGCUUCAACAACUAUGUCUUGCACAAUAUUUUCCCCCUCGAGUAUGUGCCUCUCACCGAGCUUGACGCGGUCCUUCACCGUGCCUACCACGUCCUCAAGUUUCGAAUGCGGUCCACCGCCCGUGACUUCAUCGCCGUCACCACCACCAACGAGAAUCAUCCUCUCAUCGUAAUUCUACCAGGAAAGGGUGUGUGGCUGCCAGAACCACGAGCAGAACCAUAUAUCUAUAUCGUUGACAUUGCCUUUUCUGGAGACAAACUCUAUGGCAUCACAAAGGCCGGGGACCUCAUCCCCUUUGAUCUAGGGUUGGACGAGGAUGGGAGGCCCAUGGUUACCAUUGGAAGGCGUGUGAUUCGGCAACCACUCGAUUACAUGGAUUAUGAUUGGUGGCCUCCGUCUGAUUCAGAUGACGAUGAUAGAGACAUUGAUGAUGAUGACGACUACGAUGAUGUUGUGGGGGAGGAGGAAGGUGACGUAGCCAUUGAUGAGGACAAUGAGGAAGAGGAGAAGAUGGAGGCGACGAUGGAUGUGAAAACUGCGGGUGAUAAUGGGGUCGUCGAUUUUGAUCAAGACUGGACAACAAUGGCAAAUGAUAAUGACGAUGGUGAAAAGGACCACAAUUAUCUGAAUUCCACAUAUUACAAUGGCAAUAAAGAAAUCACUAGCUGGCACCUAGUCCAGUCAUGGGGGGAGUUGUUCAUGGUGAAGACACGCACGAGUAUGCUUCCAGAUUAUACCAUGUCCACUCGCCAGGUUGAUGUUUUUAUGGCGGAUGUUAACACAUGCAAAUGGGUACCAAUGGCUAAUGGCCUUGGAGGUAGUCAAACACUCUUCAUCAGCCCAGACUACUCCAAGUUUGUUUAUGCACCUUGUGGAGAUGUCGAAGAGGAUGCCAUUUAUCUUCUCGAGUCAGGCGAGGUCUUCAAUACGAAGACUCACAAUGCUAGCCCGACAAGAUUUCGUGAGCGUUGCUACUUCGGAGAAGAUGGAAUGUGGCUCUUCCCCCCGGAAUUGGUGCUUUAA